CCCUCCGGGGUGCAGCAGGAAUGAUCACAGGUCAGCGCCACCACUUUCGCAUCGGUAAGGGUGCCGGCAAUAGCGAUCGGCCCGCCGGCAAUAAUAUCGUUUACUUGCACAUAAAACGCCCCGAUAGCCAACAGGCCGACAAGGCUGUAAAACAGGUGCCGGUGGUUGAUUAAACGGCGCAGGCUAAUAAUCACAAGUAUUCCCUCCUUCACAAAACAUCAUUAGUAUGUAUGCGCGGAGGGAAAGAUUUAUGAAAGGCAGCAACCAUGGUUAUUUUUUCGCCAGUUGACAAAGGUGCCGGGUAGAUGGCAGCGGGAAGUGAUAUUCUUACAUAAUACUCCCCUGGUUUCCAAAUGAAAGAUUUUCCGGGAGAUCGGCUGCGAAUGAAUUGGCGGGGGGGC
rnacentral:rRNA from 1 species